UACGUAGGUGGCAAGCGUUGUCCGGAUUUACUGGGUGUAAAGGGCGUGUAGCCGGGCCGGCAAGUCAGAUGUGAAAUCCCAAGGCUCAACCUUGGAACUGCAUUUGAAACUGUUGGUCUUGAGUAUCGGAGAGGUAGGCGGAAUUCGUGGUGUAGCGGUGAAAUGCUUAGAUAUCACGAAGAACUCCGAUUGCGAAGGCAGCCUGCUGGACUGUAACUGACGCUGAUGCUCGAAAGUGUGGGUAUCAAACAGG
rnacentral:rRNA from 1 species